ACGAAGGGGGCUAGCGUUGUUCGGAAUCACUGGGCGUAAAGCGCACGUAGGCGGAUGUGCCAGUCAGGGGUGAAAUCCCGGAGCUCAACUCCGGAACUGCCUCUGAUACAGCACGUCUUGAGUUCGAGAGAGGUGGGUGGAAUUCCGAGUGUAGAGGUGAAAUUCGUAGAUAUUCGGAAGAACACCAGUGGCGAAGGCGGCUUACUGGUCCGGUUCUGACGCUGAGGCGCGAAAGCGUGGGGAGCAAACAGGA
rnacentral:rRNA from 1 species